rnacentral:tRNA from 1 species
CCUUCGAUAGCUCAGCUGGUAGAGCAAAGGACUAUAGACGGGAUAAGCGUAGAUAUCCUUAAGUUGCGAGUUCAUUUCCGGCUCCAAGGA